CUCCUUCUCGCUCUUAUCUGGGUGCUCUCCAGCGCAGAUGGAGCUCUUGAAUGUCAGGUUAAUCGAGGCUCCAAAACGUGUGCAUCCGAUGAAUAUUGUGCAACUGCUGCUGUGCAGAAAAACGAUAGAUCAUUUCAGUUUAAGUCAUGCGAGUCGCCUUCGAUGUGCAAACCAAACAAUCAGACGUUCUCCUUCAACUUUGGUGGCGAUACCACCACUGCACUGAUUCACUGCUGCAAAACAAAUAACUGCAAUAGUGAAGCUGUGGCUUACCCAGGUGUUCAAACGAAUAACAGCCUUCAGUGUGUCACCUGCGAUAAUGAUGCUGUCUGUAAUAAGACGGUUCAGUGUGUGGGAGUGCAGUCCCGCUGCUUUAAAGGAUACGGUGAGCCUUUCACAGGUGUUACGUCUGCCUUCAAGUGUUCCUUGAUGGAUUUGAUUUAUUCUUUCGUAAAACAGUGAUUUUGUCAUCCACAGUGGAAGCUAAUAACAACACCUUCCCGUUUCUUGGCUGUGCUUCUGCAAACCUGUGUACUCUUCAGCUGAACAAGACAUCUGCUUUGAUUGGUCAUAUUAACUUUACCCGAGGACCAGAAUGUUGUAGAACCAGCUUCUGUAAUUCAGCCGGGACGGUCAAUCUGAGUGUUGCUCCCAUGCUUCUUGUUCUUCUUUUCCUUAUCGUCUAUUAGAACCAAGAGUGAAAUAGAACUGAAAGGUACAUUGAAAAACUUACAACCAACAACUAACAACGUCAUUGAUCUAAAAGGGGUGGACAGUAAAAUAUGAAUAUAUAAUGCAACGCAAACUCCAACUUCCGAAUGUCCAAAUGAAUGUAUACACAUGAUUAGUUCAAACUUUUCAUCUUUUGAGAGCUGCCUCCUUAAAAACGACCAACACCCAGCAGUCCUCUUGUUAGGUGUUUACAGCUCUUGUUGUUGUCCUGCACUUUCAAUUAAAACAAAUGUAGUUGCAGAAAAGCUCCUUAUAAAAUUGAUAAUAAACAUCUUUCUUCUGUUUCUGUUA